CCGACAGAUGGGGAUGGAGUCCCCCGACAACCGCCCGGCGGUCGCGCGACUGCAAUGGGCUGAUGACUCCUGCCGAAGG
rnacentral:ncRNA from 2 species